rnacentral:misc_RNA from 1 species
GAUGAAGAACGUAGCGAAAUGCGAUAAGUAGUGUGAAUUGCAGAAUUCAGUGAAUCAUCGAAUCUUUGAACGCACAUUGCGCCCCUUGGUAUUCCAUGGGGCAUGCCUGUUCGAGCGUCAUUUGUACCUUCAAGCUUUGCUUGGUGUUGGGUGUUUGUCCUGAGGGACUCGCCUUAAAGUAAUUGGCAGCCAGUGUUUGGUUUUGAAGCGCAGCACAAGUCGCGAUUCAAAGCUAUACGCCCGCUUCCACAAGCCUUUUUCACUUUUGACCUCGGAUCAGGUAGGGAUACCCGCUGAACUUAAGCAUAUCAAUAAGCGGAGA